UCUAAAUUGUUCUAUUUUACUCCAUUGGCAUUUUUCAAAUUUAUUUUUUUGAUUGGAAAUUUUUUUUUCUCCUACUCUGGUUUGAGCGGGAGAUUCAAAUUGACCUUCGGGCUUCAUCUCAGACUGACUGACAGUCUUGGGACCAUGAGUACGCUCCGGGACACAAACCAGCCAUAGUCAGCAUGGCGCUGACUCCUCAGCUCACGAGCUGCGACUCGGGCUGUUUAAAAACAUGAACAUCUCCCAUGGCUUUCAUACGCCACUACACAUUAGACAAGUAUGCGUUGGCUGAUGCAGCCUUUGGCCGCAGAGUGCUACAACAAGUACCUGUGCCUUAACAGACUUUGAUCUCUUGUCCCCACCUUAGUGGAAAGCCCCUCCUUUGGUAUGUCCCAGUCUGGCUACUAUUUCCACGAUUAUAGGAGAAUGAGCAUUGGUCCUUACCUGAUACGCUAAUUCUCUCUGACGUGGAGACAGCAGCCAGCCCCUCCCUAAGUGUAGGUCAAUCUGAACAGAACUUUUUUCUGCAGAGGAGAGAGUAUGUAUUUUGCAAUUAUCCUUUUGCUUUCACAAUUCUCACUUGAGUCUACAGUCUGCUUCGUCUAAACUGGGAGGAGUCACCACGGCACGAUUACAUCACAAGUGUAGACGUCCAAUUGGUUACUGGACAGAGCAACCGAGUCUGGCUGUUGUCUCCACGUCACAGAGAAUGAGCGUAUUAGUUUCCAUCUUCAAAAGGCAGACCUUCAUAGAGUGCACUGCAAUAACCAAAGAUCAUGUACUAAAGUGAUUAGGCCAUCCUUGGGAGUUGCAACUGCGAAGUGAGAUAUAGGUGGCUGAAUGCAUCCAAUGAUACCCGGGCCUUGAUUGAUACAGAUGAAUCCAUGACCCGAACUAUGUAUCUGCUUCUGCAAGAGGAAUAUAGCUCCAGGACAUCACGAUCUAGGAAUGCUUAGCCAGAGCAAUGAUUCAUCUAAAUUAGAAAAAGGGUAAAGAAUAUUUUUAUUUAUUUAUAGUAAUACUCAUUUGAAUUAAGAGUAUUUAAAUUCUUACUUUCAUUGUUUAAGAUGCCAAGAACUUUAUAUUUACUGUAGGUAUAGAACUGUCCCAGGAAACAAUUUUAAAAUAUUUUCCUUUAUUCAUUUUCUAAAGUCAUCCAUUGACCAAGUGAUUGGGUGUAUCUUUCAAGAGAGGUAAAAUAAUACAAACACAGGAUGAAACCAUCAACCGCUUCCCAAUAGCUGGUGAAAGAGUUGUUGCAAUUUCAGCUUAAAUAUUUGAUUGCUUCAUUUUUGCCUUAAUCAUAAUUAUCUCAACCUUUCUACAUUUAUUUCUUCAUCCUAGCCUGAUAAAUAUCUAUGCUUCAAAGUAAAAACCUACAGCAAACUCUUAACGAGUUAAAACUAUAAAUCUAAUCUGGGCACCAGGUACUAUAUUCAGAUAAUUUCUUAUCAACAGUGUACCUGUUCCCUUCCUUUAAGACAGAGGUAAGUAUUAUUUCCUUUACAGAGCCUAUAAAAUUCUCCUUUCCAGUUUCUCACGUUUAUAACAGUUGCUCCUCAUCCAGAAACAUCAAGAACAAGGAAACCUUAGAAAUUAUUCUGAAGCUCCAGAGAAGAAAAGCACUUCCCGACAGGUUCAAGUCUUUAUGUUGUUGUUCCUCUAUUUCUCCACCCCCUUCUGCCUGGAUUGCUUCUGUCUUCUGGGAAAGUCCUUGGUACCAUGUAUUUUAAUGUGCAUUUUAACUAUAGUAAUAAAAUAUGAUGGUUAAUUCUUUGCCAUCUUUGAAAUAUAUGUUCAGCUAUGAUUCUUCAACCUCUUUAGAAUAUAGUACUAGGUAUUUUCAACAAGAUCAUGUUUAUAGUAACAACAACAACAUUUUUGCUGCUCCUCCAGGAGUAAUAAAAUAGUAAAAGACACAAGUUACCUCAAGUAUAUACCAAGGAUUUGGAAACAAAUAACAAAGUCAUAUGAGGAUUAAAUAUUGAAAGUAUAUGCAAUUCCUAAAUGAUAAUUUGGUGCUUUUGCAAUUGGAUCAUUAGAUGUAUAUAUAUCCAGCAUGAUUUUUUUAAAAAAAGCUGCCCUGGUGCAAUUACAGAAAGUACAAGUGAACCCAACUUCAAGUCAGUGCUCAGAAGCAGAAUAUCCUGGGAAGCCGAAAGAUUUCCUAUUCUAGUUUUUAGAAUUAAAAUCUCCGGUCAGAUUUCUGUCUUUGGAUCUCUUACAGCAUGUAGGUACUUAUUUCACACACACAUGCCAAAUCCAAGCUGGUUCAAAAUGCACUGAUUUUCCUCACUGCUAUUCUUCUUGAAAUUGCUCAUAACCAAUAGGAGAGCUCAAGAAUCAGCAGCUAGCUUAUACCCUAUUUCCACUCCUGUCAUAACUGGGUUCACCUAGCAGCUUUUAAAAAAAAAAAGAUUGUGUUCUCCGAUUGCUCACUUUAGAAGAACUAGUGGAAGGGUAUCCUGGUGCCACAGUGCCUUAACCUCAAUGCCCACAAGAACUGGAGAGAUAGGUUGAGAAUUAGGUGCCCAAAUCCACUUGCAGGCUGCCAAAUUGAAUUGGUAGAGAUGCCUCCUGUCCUGCUGCUGAUCUGGAAAACCAUUGUGUCUGCUGAUUCUUGGCGAUCAGUGGGCCCAUAGGAGAUCCAAAAAUGUCAAACUGGCACCACAAAGAUGGAACUGAAGCCCCACCUGAUUUAUAUGUGCCGUAUCUAUAACACCCAUAAAAAAGGCGGGGAUUCAAAUUGCAUGGCCAGGUCCCCCCAUCUUUUAUUUCUUUUUCACUCUCCCUGCAGAUGCCUGUCAUAGUGUGGAAACAGAAAAAUUCAAGCCAAUUCAGGAUGAGUCAAAAUACUAUAUAUCGAGGAGACUAAAAAACAGAAUAGAUACGAGUAAAAUAGGUACCCGAGAUUGCCUGUUUAAAGAUUUGGGAAUUCUAUUGAUCUAAUCUGUCUCUGUUGAUUUGCUCAUUCAGUGCGGAUAAAUCACACAUUGUUUAUUUUGUCUAUUGUAGUUUCACAAUAACUGAAAGUGCUGGUCUUUAUUUUUCACUCAUGUAAUCUGUUAAAUCCUUUCAAUUUAUUUUCGAACACUUCAUUUCUUCUCAUGUUUUCUAAUAUUUGUCCUUGAUAACUUCAUUGUAUUUUGGUUGCUUUAUCGGCAUCUGUUUUUAGUUUUACUAGUGUUUCUUUCUUCUCUUUGUUCUUCAACAUUGUUACAUCAAUCUACUAUUGUUACGCUUUGUUUUUUAAGAUGGGGAAAUAAUUUUUUGGCUUGACUUGCUCUAAAAUGCUAAGUUUCCCAAUUCAAACUGUGAUUGAGUCUGUCCAUGUGUUUGUUGUAAGAUUAAGAUGGUUUUAUCUUAUAUUCUGGUAGCUACCCUGUUUCCCUGAAAAUAAGACCUCCCCGGAUAAUAAGCCCAAUCAGGCUUUU